rnacentral:rRNA from 1 species
AUUGAACGCUAGCGGGAUGCUUUACAUAUGCAAGUCGAACGAGUGGCGGACGGGUGAGUAAUAUAUCGGAACGUGCCCAGUAGCGGGGGAUAACUACUCGAAAGAGUGGCUAAUACCGCAUACUAUUGGAGCGGCCGAUAUCGGAUUAGCUAGUUGGUGGGGUAAAGGCUCACCAAGGCAACGAUCCGUAGCUGGUUUGAGAGGACGACCCGCCCAACUGGGACUUAGGAACGGCCCCGACUCCUACGGGAGGGAGGCGGGGGGAAUUUUGGCACAUGGGGGGCAGCCUGAUGCAGGCAUGCCGGGGUGAAGAGAAGGCCCUAGGGUUGUAAAGUACUUUCAGUCGGGAGGCGUUACCGACAGAAGAAGCACCGGCUAACUCCGUGCCAGCAGCCGCGGUAAUAC